rnacentral:rRNA from 1 species
UACGGAGGGUGCAAGCGUUAUCCGGAUUCACUGGGUUUAAAGGGUGCGUAGGUGGGUUGGUAAGUCAGUGGUGAAAUCCCCGAGCUUAACUUGGGAACUGCCAUUGAUACUAUCAGUCUUGAAUACUGUGGAGGUCAGCGGAAUAUGUCAUGUAGCGGUGAAAUGCUUAGAUAUGACAUAGAACACCAAUUGCGAAGGCAGCUUACUACACAGUAAUUGACACUGAGGCACGAAAGCGUGGGGAUCAAACAGG